UGUCGCGCACCCAGACCCGCCAUAUAUUCUCUCUUCCCUUUCUUUCUCGUCUUCCUCUCUUCUUCUCCCACAAUCCCUGCGUUCUCGUCAGGACUAGGGUUUUUUCCCACAAUCCUUUCGUGCUCCUCAGGACUAGGGAUUUCUGUGUUCUCGAUUCCUUGGAGGGAGAGAGAUGGGAGGAGGCAACGGUCAGAAAGCGAAGAUGGCCCGCGAGAGGAACUUGGAGAAGCAGAAAGCUGCAAAGGGAAGCCAGCUGGAAUCCAACAAGAAAGCAAUGACCAUCCAGUGCAAGGUGUGCAUGCAGACAUUCAUAUGCACUACCUCAGAAGUAAAGUGCAGGGAGCAUGCAGAGGCUAAGCAUCCGAAAACUGAUGUGUACCAGUGCUUCGAACAUCUCAAGAAGUAGUCUUCUUGUAGGAAUGGGAAGUUGUAAACAGCUGCGAACAUCACCGCCGACCAUAUUAUACAUAUAUAUCCUUCUAAUUUGAUUUUUCUAGGAAUCCAGCGCAGACGCUCCUAAGUUGCUGGCCCAUUGAAAAUGUUCGUGGGAUUAUGAUAUGUGAACUACUUGUUCUACUUCCAUUUCAGGCAAAGGCAUAUGCACCAUGGGGCCCACCCACCUGAUGAACGGCCCUGCGUAUGGGAGACAAAUGCCUAGCCUGGAUUUCUCUAAAGUAUAUGUUAGGACAUGGAUAGAUGUUUUCAUAACAAUCUAAGGGAGUUGGAUUUUCACCCUAUGCCCUUUGAAGCCAAUACAGAGCAGUGCCAUUUGAUGGUCCA